GUUACGAUGAAAGAUUCAAGCUUCAACGUCUUGGUUGUUUUUGCAAUGUUUGCCUUUCUUUUACUAGUCAUACAAGAGGGGGGCCAGAAAUCCGCGCUUUCAGCGUCAGAUGCCAUCAAAAUUGAGGAGCGAGCUUACGGCCACCGUCCUGCUAGUACUACUCGUCCCACAACUACUACAAAGAGGUUUAACGGGCAAUUCAAGGGUCAAGGACGCUAGUGGAACUUCUUGCAGUCGUCCCCCCAAGCACUAAAUGGAGCCUAGAGCAACAUGGAAGAAAUGAGAUUCUUUGCUUCAGCGGAUCACAGAAUACAAGAAAAGUUUGGUUGGGCACCACGGGCAUUACAGUCGAGCUGAACAAUAAAAUUUUCCUCAUCUUUCGUUGAAA